rnacentral:lncRNA from 1 species
UGGGUUGGUGCGGCGAGUGUGUGGUAGAGCCUUCUUCUCCUCAGUGAUGAGGGAACAUGGCGGCAGCUCCCACAUACAAUCGUAACAGCAUCUGGUUUCGCUAUUUCCACCUGGGCUGAGAAGUGCCUGCCUGUCUUCGAAUCCUUGUGGAGGACAUCCUUCCUCACCUGCCCCAGCACCGUCAUCUUUGUGGCAGAUAACUGAGAUGAAGGAAAUGAGCACCAAUCAGCUCUUUCUCCACUGGGAAUUCGCUCUUUGUA